rfam:Triticum urartu cultivar G1812 contig31208, whole genome shotgun sequence.
CUGUCCGAUGAUUUAUUCUAAAUACUUUCAUUCUUCUGAUGCGCUAGUUUGUGUUGCGGUGCGGAAUCAAUUUGGAGACCUGAACUGAGGAAAU